rnacentral:rRNA from 1 species
AUGAACGCUGGCGGCGUGCCUAAUACAUGCAAGUCGAGCGAACAGACGAGGAGCUUGCUCCUCUGACGUUAGCGGCGGACGGGUGAGUAACACGUGGAUAACCUACCUAUAAGACUGGGAUAACUUCGGGAAACCGGAGCUAAUACCGGAUAAUAUAUUGAACCGCAUGGUUCAAUAGUGAAAGACGGUUUUGCUGUCACUUAUAGAUGGAUCCGCGCCGCAUUAGCUAGUUGGUAAGGUAACGGUUUACCAAGGCAACGAUGCGUAGCCGACCUGAGAGGGUGAUCGGCCACACUGGAACUGAGACACGGUCCAGACUCCUACGGGAGGCAGCAGUAGGGAAUCUUCCGCAAUGGGCGAAAGCCUGACGGAGCAACGCCGCGUGAGUGAUGAAGGUCUUCGGAUCGUAAAACUCUGUUAUUAGGGAAGAACAAAUGUGUAAGUAACUAUGCACGUCUUGACGGUACCUAAUCAGAAAGCCACGGCUAACUACGUG